rnacentral:rRNA from 1 species
UCGAUGCAACGCGAAGAACCUUACCUGGUCUUGACAUCCACGGAAGUUUUCAGAGAUGAGAAUGUGCCUUCGGGAACCGUGAGACAGGUGCUGCAUGGCUGUCGUCAGCUCGUGUUGUGAAAUGUUGGGUUAAGUCCCGCAACGAGCGCAACCCUUAUCCUUUGUUGCCAGCGGUCCGGCCGGGAACUCAAAGGAGACUGCCAGUGAUAAACUGGAGGAAGGUGGGGAUGACGUCAAGUCAUCAUGGCCCUUACGACCAGGGCUACACACGUGCUACAAUGGCGCAUACAAAGAGAAGCGACCUCGCGAGAGCAAGCGGACCUCAUAAAGUGCGUCGUAGUCCGGAUUGGAGUCUGCAACUCGACUCCAUGAAGUCGGAAUCGCUAGUAAUCGUGGAUCAGA